GACGAACGCUGGCGGCGUGCUUAACACAUGCAAGUCGAACGGAAAGGCCCUGCUUUUGUGGGUUGCUCGAGUGGCGAACGGGUGAGUAACACGUAAGUAACCUGCCCUUGACUUUGGGAUAACUUCAGGAAACUGGGGAUAAUACCGGCUAGGAGCUCCUGCUGCAUGGUGGGGGUGGGAAAGUUUCGGCGGUCGGGGAUGGAUUCCCGGGUCAUCAGCUUGUUGGAGGGGUGUUGGCUUCCCAAGACUUAGCCGGGUGGCCGGCAUGGGAGGGGGAACGGCCACAAGGGGACUGCGAUACGGCCCAGUGUGCAACGGGGGGCAGCAGUGGGGAGUAUUGCACAAUGGGCGGAAGCGUGAUGCAACAACGCCGCGGGCGGGAUGACGGCCUGCGGGUUGUAAACCGCUUUCGCCUGUGACGAAGCGAGAGUGACGGUAAUGGGUAAAGAAGCACCGGCUAACUACGUG
rnacentral:rRNA from 1 species